rnacentral:rRNA from 1 species
AUUCCAGCUCCAAUAGCGUAUAUUAAAGUUGUUGCAGUUAAAAAGCUCGUAGUUGAACCUUGGACAAAGUGCGCGUGGUCUACCGCAAGGUACGACUGCGGCGCUGCGUCUCUUUAGGGGGACUCGAUGCUUCGGUGUCGAGGUAACCCGUGUUACUGUGAAGAAAUUAGAGUGUUUAAAGCAGGCUAUCGCUUGAAUACAUCAGCAUGGAAUAACAAGUUGGACUUUGCUCCUACUCGUUGGUUUGAGGGGAAAAGUAAUGAUUAAUAGGGCCAGUUGGGGGCAUUAGUAUUCAGUAGUCAGAGGUGAAAUUCUUGGAUUUACUGAAGACUAACUAGUGCGAAAGCAUUUGCCAAGGAUGUUUUCAUCA